rnacentral:rRNA from 1 species
AACCCCAUGUGAAACCCCUUCGACGAGUCGAGUUGUUUGGGAAUGCAGCUCAAAAUGGGUGGUAAAUUUCAUCUAAAGCUAAAUACCGGCCAGAGACCGAUAGCGCACAAGUAGAGUGAUCGAAAGAUGAAAAGCACUUUGGAAAGAGAGUCAAAAAGUACGUGAAAUUGUUGAAAGAGAAGCGCUUGCAACCAGACCUGUCCGCCGGCGAUCAACCCCCGUUCUUCGGGGGUGCACUCGUCGGCGACCAGGCCAGCAUCGGUUCGGGCGGUCGGAUAAAGGCCGUGGGAAUGUAGCUCCUCUUGGGGAGUCUUAUAGCCCUCGGUGCAAUGCGGCCAGCUGGGACCGAGGACCGCGCUUCGGCUAGGAUGCUGGCGUAAUGGUUGUAAGCGACCCGUCUUGAAACACGGACCAAGGAGUCUAACAUCUAUGCAAGUGUUUGGGUGUCAAGCCCAUACGCGUAAUGAAAGUGAACGGAGGUGAGAACCCUUAAGGGCGCAUCAUCGACCGAUCCAGAUGUCUUCGGAUGGAUUUGAGUACRAGCAUAGCUGUUGGGACCCGAAAGAUGGUGAACUAUGCCUGAAUAGGGUGAAGCCAGAGGAAACUCUGGUGGAGGCUCGCAGCGGU